GUCCCCAUAGUUCAACUGGAUAGAACAGUUGCCUCCUAAGCGAUCGAUCCAGGUUCGAGUCCUGGUGGGGACGCCA
rnacentral:tRNA from 1 species